rnacentral:tRNA from 1 species
UGGGGUGUAGCUCAGUGGUAGAGCAUUCGACUGUAGCUCGAGAGGUUACGGGUUCAAACUCCGUUGCCCGAU